UGGGGAAUCUUCCGCAAUGGACGAAAGUCUGACGGAGCAACGCCGCGUGAGUGAAGAAGGCCUUCGGGUCGUAAAGCUCUGUUAUUGGGGACGAACGUUUUCUAUGUGAAUAAUGUAGAGAAGUGACGGUACCCAAGGAGGAAGCCACGGCUAACUACGUGCCAGCAGCCGCGGUAAUACGUAGGUGGCGAGCGUUGUCCGGAAUUAUUGGGCGUAAAGAGCGUGUAGGUGGGAUAGUCAGUCUCAUUUAAAAGAUCGGGGCUCAACCCCGAUAGGGGUGAGAAACUGCUAUUCUUGAGUGCAGGAGAGGAAAGCGGAAUUCCCAGUGUAGCGGUGAAAUGCGUAGAUAUUGGGAGGAACACCAGUGGCGAAGGCGGCUUUCUGGACUGUGUCUGACACUGAGGCGCGAAAGCCAGGGGAGCGAACGGG
rnacentral:rRNA from 2 species